rnacentral:rRNA from 1 species
UACGGGGGGAGCAAGCGUCGUUCGGAUUUACUGGGCGUAAAGGGCGCGUAGGCGGCCACCGCAAGUCGACUGUGAAAUCUCCGGGCUUAACCCGGAAAGGUCAGCCGAUACUGCGGGGCUAGAGUGCAGAAGGGGCAACUGGAAUUCUCGGUGUAGCGGUGAAAUGCGUAGAUAUCGAGAGGAACACCUGCGGCGAAGGCGGGUUGCUGGGCUGACACUGACGCUGAUGUGCGAAAGCUAGGGGAGCGAACGGG